rnacentral:rRNA from 1 species
GUACACUCCUACGGGAGGCAGCAGUGGGGAAUUUUGGACAAUGGGCGAAAGCCUGAUCCAGCAAUGCCGCGUGAGUGAAGAAGGCCUUCGGGUUGUAAAGCUCUUUUGUCAGGGAAGAAACGGUGAAAGCUAAUAUCUUUUGCUAAUGACGGUACCUGAAGAAUAAGCACCGGCUAACUACGUGCCAGCAGCCGCGGUAAUACGUAGGGUGCAAGCGUUAAUCGGAAUUACUGGGCGUAAAGCGUGCGCAGGCGGUUUUGUAAGUCUGAUGAGAAAUCCCCGGGCUCAACCUGGGAAUUGCAUUGGAGACUGCAAGGCUAGAAUCUGGCAGAGGGGGGUAGAAUUCCACGUGUAGCAGUGAAAUGCGUAGAUAUGUGGAGGAACACCGAUGGCGAAGGCAGCCCCCUGGGUCAAGAUUGACGCUCAUGCACGAAAGCGUGGGGAGCAAACAGGAUUAGAAACCCCGGUAGUCCCAUGA